rfam:Camelus ferus unplaced genomic scaffold scaffold638, whole genome shotgun sequence.
GGUAGUAGCUCAGUGGUAGAGUGUGUGCUUAGCAUGCAGAAGGCCCUAGGUUCAAUCCCCAGUACUGCCA